GCGGCGCGGCGCGCUUGAGGCGGCGGCAGCAGCAGCGGCUGCGCGACCCCCGCCGCCUCCCGCUCGCCCGCCGCCGCCGGAGGAGGAGGAGGAGGAGGUGGGGGGGAUAUGCCGACGCAGCGGGACAGCAGCGGCAACAGCACCAUGUCGGCUCCGGGCGGCGGAGGGGGCGGCCUCGGCGGGGACAGCGCCCACCAGGUCCGGGUGAAAGCCUACUACAAGGGGGACAUCAUGAUAACAUAUUUUGAACCUUCCAUCUCAUUUGAGGGACUGUGCAGUGAAGUUCGAGACAUGUGCUCCUUUGACAACGAACAGCUUUUCACCAUGAAAUGGAUUGAUGAAGAAGGAGAUCCAUGUACAGUUUCUUCUCAGCUGGAGUUAGAAGAGGCCUUUCGGUUGUAUGAACUAAACAAGGAUUCAGAGCUUCUAAUUCAUGUAUUUCCUUGUGUACCAGAACGGCCUGGCAUGCCUUGUCCAGGAGAAGAUAAAUCCAUUUAUCGCCGAGGCGCCCGCCGGUGGCGAAAGCUCUAUUGUGCAAAUGGUCACACUUUCCAAGCCAAACGAUUUAACAGGAGAGCUCAUUGUGCCAUUUGCACUGACCGAAUAUGGGGCCUGGGUCGCCAGGGAUAUAAAUGCAUCAAUUGCAAACUCCUUGUUCACAAGAAGUGUCACAAACUUGUCAGUAUUGAAUGUGGCCGUCACACACUACAACCAGAACCAAUAAUGCCUAUGGAUCCAUCAUCAGUGCAUCCAGAUAAUGUAGAAUCAGUGAUUCCAUACAAUCCCUCAAGUCAUGAGAGCUUGGACCAUGUUGGUGAAGAAAAAGAGGCAAUGAGCAUUAGAGAAAGUGGCAAAGCUUCCUCCAGUCUGGGUCUUCAGGAUUUUGAUUUGCUCCGAGUUAUAGGAAGAGGUAGUUACGCUAAAGUACUACUUGUUCGACUGAAGAAAACUGAACGCAUUUACGCAAUGAAAGUGGUGAAGAAGGAGCUCGUCAAUGAUGAUGAGGAUAUUGAUUGGGUUCAGACAGAGAAACACGUCUUUGAACAGGCUUCAAAUCAUCCCUUUCUUGUCGGACUACACUCUUGCUUCCAGACAGAAAGCAGGUUAUUCUUUGUUAUAGAGUACGUAAAUGGAGGCGAUCUAAUGUUUCAUAUGCAGAGACAGAGAAAGCUGCCAGAGGAGCAUGCCAGGUUUUAUUCUGCUGAAAUCAGUCUAGCAUUGAACUAUUUACAUGAACGAGGGAUAAUCUACAGAGAUUUAAAACUGGAUAAUGUGCUACUAGAUUCUGAAGGGCAUAUUAAACUCACAGAUUAUGGCAUGUGCAAGGAGGGUCUGAGGCCUGGUGACACAACCAGCACGUUUUGUGGGACUCCAAACUAUAUUGCACCUGAAAUUCUCCGGGGAGAGGAUUAUGGCUUCAGUGUAGACUGGUGGGCACUUGGUGUACUUAUGUUUGAAAUGAUGGCGGGCCGGUCACCAUUUGAUAUUGUUGGGAGUUCCGACAAUCCUGAUCAGAACACAGAAGAUUAUCUUUUCCAAGUAAUUUUGGAAAAACAGAUCCGAAUUCCCCGAUCCCUUUCUGUUAAAGCAGCAGGUGUUCUAAAGAGUUUCCUUAAUAAGGAUCCAAAGGAACGUUUAGGCUGCCAUCCUCAAACAGGAUUUGCAGAUAUCCAGGGACAUCCGUUCUUUCGCAAUGUUGAUUGGGAUCUGAUGGAGCAAAAGCAAGUGGUGCCUCCAUUUAAACCAAAUAUAUCUGGAGAAUUUGGUCUGGAUAACUUUGACUCCCAAUUCACCAAUGAACCUGUGCAGCUCACUCCAGAUGAUGAUGAUAUUGUGAAGAAGAUUGACCAGUCAGAAUUUGAAGGCUUUGAAUAUAUAAAUCCUCUUUUGAUGUCAGCUGAGGAAUGUGUUUGAAUUCUCCAUUUCUGGACUGUGCCAAUUGUUACUCAGUUUGUUUCUGCAUGGAAGAUAGCACUGGGAUAGACCGUAACAACCUAAGAAAUACCUCCCUCAGCCUGUGUUCCCCAAGCAUGUCUUAGAAUGGAGGCCCCUCUCUGACGUGCUUUGCCAGCCUUCUGUUCAUCGUGCCCUAUGGAGGAGAAGCAUCCUUGUAGGUUCUGUCUUUUGUUCUGACACCAGUGAUGAAACAAAAGUAAGUAGUGAGGGUUCAGUCAGCUGCACAGAUACAGAAAGCUUAAACUAAAAUAUAAAAUGCAAUUCUAGCUUGCUUGACCAAGGACUUCUUUCAGCUGGAACUUCUAAGACAUUAUCUCAGGGGCCGAAGCUGGGGACUUGGAGUUCAGAGCAACACUCUUAUCUGCUGUGCUUACUUCUGCAUGAUUUCUUUCUUUGUUUCUUCAACUCCUCCCCUGCAUUCUCUUAGAUUUCUGACACGGAGGGCAAGGGCACUUACCUCAUACCCUGCUACAGAUGCAGUAUUUCAAUAUAGCUGUAUUUCAGUGUCUGCGUAUUGAUAUUUUAAAAGAGAUUUCCUCUUGAGAUCUGGCUUGUUAUUAAAAGUAUGUAUCGGCAGUCCUAGGCAAAUGCUACAGAUGGUUGCAUAUCUUAAAUGCUUAACCUCCCCCCACGCAUGCUUCUUGUUUCUGUUCAGUUUGGUGGCCAACUGCUCUCGGCUCAGUCUGAGCAAUUGUUUAUGUUAAGACACUCUAUAAAAGAAAUUAAUAGCGUGUAUAAUCUAUAUAUAUACUUGAUACCUUAACUGCUAAGCAUGCAUCCUCGCUUCGUGACGGACAGCAUAAGCAGUUUAAGCAAGAAAGGCAUCUGAAAUCUGUAGGCCUACAGAUUAAUGAUAUUUCCCUGGGAAGAGGGAGGUGGGGAUUGGUGCCCCUUUCAGAAAAAGGGGAUUUUAUCCUAUCUUGCAUUUUCUUGAGAAGAGUUCCAUUAGGGUUUAUUUUAAGACUUUUUUUUUUCCUGCUUAUGAUAAAGGGAUCUAAACUGCAUGCUUGAAAUGUGUGAUCUUACCAUUUAAUCACCAACAAUUAAAGGCAGGGAAGCAUCCACCUCCUGGAUCUGUUUGGCUUUUGCAGAAGGUGGGCUUUUUCCAGGCGUAAACAGAACCAGAAAUCUGUUGGCAUCCGCAUUCGACUUCUAAGCUUGAACAAAGCGUCUGGGCUUAUACCCCUCUUGCGUUGGGUGGUGAAGCAUCUAGCUGAACAGGUGAAUUUUGACUGUGAUUUCAGAUGGAAAAACUAAGUCAUAGCUCAGGUUCUUCAUUAGCUGUCGUGUUUUGUACAGAACUGUUUCCAAAGCAACUUGUCCUGUAAGAUGUGGUGCAGGCUAAAAUCUGUCAGCUUUUUGUGCUUUACCCGCUUACAGGUCUUGUAGUGUCUCUCAUACAGUAUCUUGUCUGUGUUACUUAAUCUGUCAUAGCAUGUUUCACAAGAGUGGUCUUAAGUAUUACAACUUAGCAUUAAAAAUCGCCGCUGAAGUGAUUUUCUUAAAAAUGCGCAAGCUAAUAUCUUCAGAGAAGAAAUGCACAAUUUUUGAUCUCUGUUCAGUGUUAACUGAACAGCAUCUUCAGAGCAUCUUCAGAGACCGUGUGUAUGGAAACUUUUUUUUUUUUUUAAAAUAUGCUUCUUUCUGUAGAAACCCCUCUUUGUUCAUAAAUAUGCAACUUGAAUCUUACUCAUAAAACUGUGACAAAGUUCUUUACACACUUAGCAGUUUGGUGAACAACUUUGUAUCUAUGUUAACCAGCUCAGCUGAAAGAUCAUUUUGUUUUAAUAUGGUAUUUGGCACUUCACUUUAUAAGCAGUAGUUUAAAGUAUUUAUUUUUAUUUGCACUUAGAAAUGCAGAUUAUUUUAUCUCACUUGCCCCUCUUCCUAGUGUGCGAGUGGAAGAGGUAUCGACCCCAGCGACUGUCAAAGGUGGCCUGCAAGAAUUCAAAGGGGCAUGUGUGUGGGGAGGAUGGGACUUACUCUUGUCUUAAACACCCAUUUUUUUGUUUCAUGGUAUUUUUGUAGCUCUGUGUUUUUGAGUGUGUCCUGCCUGGUAUUAUUUUAGAAAUAUAUGAAAUAAAAAUUAUAUACUUUCUAGGGAGCUGCUUAGUUUCCCAUAUAUUAUUAUAUAUCCCUCACUUUUAACUGAAAAUGAAACUUCUGUAGUCACUGUUUAAUUGUAAAGUAAAAUUUAAUUUUUUUUUAUAAUAAUAACUUUUUUUCCUUAGAGCUGACUUAGAAGAGUAAAGACAAAAAUUCUGUAAAGGCUGCCUCAGUGUUAAACCUAAGGUGUUGAAACUAAGCAGUGAAGGUGCUAUUUGUGAACUGCAUUUUAAGACAACCUUAAAUGUUAAUUUUGUAAGCUUUCAAAGAGCUUCAGCACUUCUCGAAAAUUCAGAGGCGUUAAUAAUAAAGGAAAGAUUCCUUCUAUGCUCUGUUAGUGUAAUUUAUUACAUCUUGCAAAGGUCUGUAACUCAGGUUUUAGUUGCACAGUGUCUUUGGAACUGCUUUUCACAGUCUACAGUAGAAGUUGUAGGCAGAGUUAACAUCUUUUUUUAGACAAUCCUCUACCUACAACCUUUGCCUGAUUACUGUAGCUCUAUAGCAACACUCAUUACAGCACAAUAGUUACUAGAAUUUGCAACCUGAAAGGCAAAAUGUGAGCAGAACUUGAAAAAACCCAAAUUAAACAAUGCCACCGUAUUCCUAAGCUUCUGUGACAUCACUAGGUCUAAUAAAAGAUGUAAUAUCUGCCUAUGUAUGUUGCUUUCCUUACAUCCAUAAAUCAGUCCAGCUCUGGUGUUAUAAAUCUUGCAUUUUCUUCAGUAAACUUAAAAUGGAAAUAUGACAUAGUGGGUUUCACUAAUUGGUAUUUGAAGAGAUUUUUUUUGUUUGUUUUGUUUUUCUUAAAUCAGAUCCUAAAUUCCUAGAGGGUGGAGAAGACAGGAAUGUUCAGAAUGUCUGGACAAUUGUGUCACAGGUCUGUGUCUUUCAGGAUCAGCUCCAAAAGCUGGUACAUUCAGAAAUGUUUUACUCUGCUAUAUUGUUGUGGCUUUUAAGCAAACCUUGUAACUGCUUAAUAAAUACGUACAGAGUGUUA